rnacentral:rRNA from 1 species
GUCUACGGCCAUGCCACCCUGAACAAGCCUGAUCCCAUCUGAUCUUGGAAGCUCAGCAGGGUUGGGCCUGGUUAAUACUUGGAUGGGAGACUACCUAGGAAGACCAGGUGCUGUAGGCA